rnacentral:rRNA from 1 species
UUCAGAUUGCAGGCUGCAACCCGCCUGCAUGAAGUCGGAAUUGCUAGUAAUCGCGGAUCAGCAUGCCGCGGUGAAUACGUUCCCGGGCCUUGUACACACCGCCCGUCACACCAUGGGAGCCGGUAAUACCCGAAGUCAGUAGUCCAACCACGUGAGGACGCUGCCGAAGGUAGGAUUGGCGACUGGGGUGAAGUCGUAACAAGGUACC